rnacentral:rRNA from 1 species
ACGAAGACUGGAAUCGCUAGUAAUCGCGGAUCAGCACGCCGCGGUGAAUACGUUCCCGGGCCUUGUACACACCGCCCGUCACACCAUGGAAGUCUGCAAUGCCCGAAGCCGGUGGCCUAACCACUUAUGUGGAAGGAGCCGUCUAAGGCAGGGCAGAUGACUGGGGUGAAGUCGUAACAAGGUAAC